rnacentral:tRNA from 1 species
GGUGAGAUGGCUGAGUGGUCGAAAGCGACGGUUUGCUAAAUCGUUGUACGGUUGAAAAGCCGUACCGAGGGUUCGAAUCCCUCUCUCACCGCCA